CUUCCUUCCUUCCUGUUCUUAUCAGCUGUAAUAUCUGAUACAUCCUCCAUUGGAGGCUGUGUAUUGAGCACAUUUUUUGGUCCUGGGAGGUAGAGCUGGAGCUUGCUCCAUCCCCUCCAUGCAUCAGCCUGGUAUUCCAGUGCUUGCUUGCUUGCUUGGAACAGGGGUGGGCAAUUAUU
rnacentral:snRNA from 1 species